AAAGGGAGACCUAAUUCAGGUAGGAGACGAAAAAAAAGUAGUCCCUACCAAGAAUCAAUCCCAAAAGGUCGGAACGAGGUAUGUGGCUUUCAAACUAGGUUCUGGGUUCAUAAAAGACCUGAAUCAGGAACAAGGGCUAUUAGCUCAGGUGGUUAGAGCGCACCCCUGAUAAGGGUGAGGUCCCUGGUUCGAGUCCAGGAUGGCCCACCUGCACAGGUGGCAAAAACAAGAGAAACGAGGAAUCAGCACCUUAUCUUACUUACAUAGUAAGAGAGAAUGCUGGCUCUGAGUAAAGAGUCCAGAGGAACCUUGAAAACUGCAUAGAGCUAGGUGAAAAAGCCAAAAAAGAAGACCGCAAG
rnacentral:tRNA from 1 species